rnacentral:rRNA from 1 species
AGAGUUUGAUCCUGGCUCAGAACGAACGCUGGCGGCAGGCUUAACACAUGCAGGUCGAACGGUUGUAGCAAUACAGCAGUGGCGCACGGGUGAGUAACGCGUGGGAACGUGCCUUUCAGUCUGGAAUAACGUCGGGAAACUGACGCUAAUACCGGAUAUUCUCUACGGAGGAAAGAUUUAUCGCUGAAAGAUCGGCCCGCGUUAGAUUAGGUAGUUGGUGGGGUAAUGGCCUACCAAGCCUACGAUCUAUAGCUGGUCUGAGAGGAUGAUCAGCCACACUGGAACUGAGACACGGUCCAGACUCCUACGGGAGGCAGCAGUGGGGAAUAUUGGACAAUGGGCGCAAGCCUGAUCCAGCCAUGCCGCGCGAGUGAUGAAGGCCUUAGGGUUGUAAAGCUCUUUUGUCAGGGAAGAUAAUGACGGUACCUGAAGAAUAAGCACCGGCUAACUUCGUGCCAGCAGCCGCGGUAAUACGAAGGGUGCUAGCGUUGUUCGGAAUCACUGGGCGUAAAGGGCGCGUAGGCGGCGUCGCAAGUCAGAGGUGAAAGCCUGGAGCUCAACUCCAGAAUUGCCUUUGAAACUGCGAUGCUAGAGUGUCGGAGGGGAUAGCGGAAUUGCUAAUGUAGAGGUGAAAUUCGUAGAUAUUAGCAGGAACACCGGUGGCGAAGGCGGCUAUCUGGACGACAACUGACGCUGAGGCGCGAAAGCGCGGGGAUCAAACAGGAUUAGAUACCCCCGUAGUCC